rnacentral:tRNA from 1 species
GGUGGGUUGGCGGAGUGGACAAUCGCGCUGGUCUUGAAAACCAGAGGGAGAAAUCCCUACACAGGUUCGAAUCCUGUACCCACCG